AUAUGCAUCAUACGACAGUUCAUAAUAUUCAUAACAUUCUAUGCAUGGCAAUCAAAUCAUAUUUCAUUUCAUUUCAAUAUACUUUUCAUUUAAUUUUGAUUUCUGGGGAAAUCGAGUAUAUAGGUAUAUAUAUAAAAACAAAUGCCCACUCACUGGUAUGUCGCCGGGUCGUAACCCCCUUGACGCCCCUGGAUGUGCUCGUCCUCGUUAUAAGUCCCACCUAGAAGUGAAAUAACUAAAAAACAUCAUUUAACGCACAAUUAACGCACCUAAACCAAACUAGGUAAUUAAUUCUUCAUACGAUGCUCAAAUUGGGUAUAUGAAUAUACCACGGUGACCUACACAAACUCAGGAUCAUCCCCAUAUUUUUAAAAUAAUUUUUGGAGGUCUCACGCGCCCCCACGCGCCUGACGUGGCACGGACCUACGCGCCCCACACGCGCGGCCACGUGCGUUGCAUGCUAACGGCACAGUAACGGCAGUUAGGGAAUAUUCCGUCAAAUCCUAGUAUAUUCCGUUAAAACCUAAACCGUUCCGUUAACGGGCGUCAGGAAUAUUCUGUUAGAACUAACGGAAUAUUCCUGCUUCUUCUCCGAUGGACUCUCGCCGGACUCCGGUCACAGGAAAACUGGGAAAAAUUUUCUAUUUAACUAUUCUCACUCGUUUUUCGUCCAUUUUCUUCGAAUUUUAUACCAAAUUGAAGCAUUUAACAUGUACAAUCACGAUGGAAGGGUUUUAAACACUAAAAAUCACGGGAUCAUACCUUCCAAAAAUUCCAAAAAUCGGCCAAACGUCGAACUCAACGAUCCCGACGUCCAAAACUUCCAAACGUUACACUCCGAGCAUCCUUGGAACUUCCUAAGACUCUCUGUGAUCUUGUUUUAACCUAAAACGUAACCAUUUAGAAGAUCAUGAACAAUGUCAUUUCACGGGGCUUUAAAAACCAGGGUUUUUCGAAGUGAAACUCACCUGAAUUUGGUAUCCCCGUGUUCGUGAAGUCCUCAGGAUCACGAUGGUAGUCUUAAAUUGGACGUUCGUGGAGGUUUGAUUGAGGUUGUGUGUGAGUUCGUAUGUUCGAGAGGAAGAGAGAGAGAGUGAAAGUCUGAAAUGGAAGAAGAAGAGAGAGAAGGAAAGGUUACGGAUUUUAGGGAAGGUUUUGAGGGUAUGAGGAUCCCACCUUAACCCAUACAAAUGUAAAUCUAAACCCUAGUUUAAGUCCCUAACAUAAAUUAAUAUUCUAAAUAACAAUAGUUUAGGAUCUUUAGAUAAAACAAAUGUCGUACAUUUACACACCUUAAUCCCCUUUAGGGAUAUUUUAGUACUUUCACGUCCUCGGAAUUAAAAUUCCGGGACGGGCUGUGACAAUCUCCCCUCCUUAUAGAAUUUCGUCCCCGAAAUUCCAGUCACCAACCAGCAUCAAAACUCAUAAAAUAGCCUCGGAUACAUAUCUCUCAUCCGUUCUUCUGUUUCCCAUGUAGCUUCUUCCGCUGCAUGGUUUCUCCACAAUACUUUUACCAAGCUCACUGUCUUAUUCCUCAGAGUCUUAUCUUUCCAAUCCAGUAUAGUCACUGGUUCCUCGUCGUACGUCAAAUCCGGAUUAAUUUCCAAAGGUUGAGGAGGAAUCACAUGUGAAGGAUCUGAAACAUAAUGCCGAAGCAUCGAGACAUGGAAACACAUUAUGUACCUUAGACAACUCUGGAGGUAGCUCCAACCUGUAAGCAACUUCACCAAUCCUCUCAGUGAUCUCAUAAGGUCCAAUGUACCUGGGACUUAGCUUUCCUUUCUUUCCAAAUCGAACCACACCUCUCCAAGGUGAUAAUUUCAAAAAUACAUAGUUGCCCACAUUAUACAUUCUAUCCGUGGUAUGUCGAUCCGCUAGGCUCUUUUGUCUAUCCUGGGCCGUUUUCAGGUUAGACUUAAUCACCUGAAUAUUCUGAGUAGUCUCAUCCACAAUCUCUGGGCCCUCAAGUAUUCUUUCACCGACCUCUGACCAACAUAAUGGAGUACGGCAAGCUUUUCCAUAAAGCGCUUCAAAUGGAGACAUUCCAAUACUCGAAUGAAAACUAUUAUUGUAGGCAAACUCCAUCAAAUCCAAGCGAUCAUGCCAAGAAUCACCAAAUUGCAUCACAGAGGAUCUCAACAUAUCCUCGAGUGUCUGAAUAGUUCUCUCUGACUGACCAUCUGUCUGUGGAUGAUAAGCUGUACUGUAAAGCAGUCUAGUGCCCAAAGCUUCUUGAAAAGCUGUCCAAAACUUAGAAGUAAACCUCGGAUCUCGAUCAGAUAUGAUAUUCACUGGGACACCAUGAUACUUUACGACCUUCGAAAUGAAUAACUUAGCCAGCUUAUUUAAAGGAUACUUCUCCCUUACUGGAAUAAAAUGUGCUGAUUUGGUAAGUCGAUCUACAACCACCCAAAUGCCAUCAAAACCAUUUUGUGUACGUGGUAGCUUAUACAUAAAAUCCAUCGUUAUAUUCUCCCAUUUCCACUGGGGAACGGGAAGUGGUUACAAUCUUCCAAACGGCUUCUUUCUUUCAGCCUUAACCUGCUGGCAAACAAUACACCUACUUACAUACUCUGCAAUUUCCCUCUUCAUACCCGGCCAAUAAUAGAAUGGUCGAAUGGUAUGAUACAUUUUAGUUCCUCCUGGGUGCAUAGCAUAAGCCGAACAAUGUGCUUCAUCCAAGAUUUCUUUCUUCAGUUCCUCAUUAUUAGGCACAUAUAUCCUGUUCUCUUGCAUAAGCAUACCAUCUGAUCCUCGGAUCUUGAGAUCUUUCUUCUUCCCUUCCUUUCUUAAAUUGACCAACUCUUGAAUUUCUUCAUCCAACGAUUGAGCUGUAAGCACCCGAUCAAUUAAAAUUGGCUUGACUUGAAAAUUGGCAAGAAAAGCUUCACUAUGCUCUUCCAAUUCUAACUCUACUCCAGUAGAUCUCAACUCUGCCAGAAGAGGAACACGACUGGCAUACAAAGCAUUAAGUCGCCCUUGAGGUUUCCUACUCAGAGCAUCAGCUACCACAUUUGCACGACCCGGAUGGUACUCAAUUGUGCAAUCAUAAUCACUUAACAAUUCCAACCAUCUUCUCUGACGAAGAUUAAGAUCAUGCUGAGUGAAAAGGUACUGAAGGCUUUUAUGAUCGGUAAAGAUCUUACAUUUCUCGCCAUAGAGAUAAUGUCUCCAAAUCUUCAAAGCAAACACAAUAGCUGCCAACUCAAGAUCGUGAGUCGGAUAGUUUCUUUCAUGAGUCUUCAACUGCCUAGAAGCAUAGGCAAUCACUCUACUAUGCUGCAUCAAAACACAACCCAAACCAUUCAAAGAAGCAUCACUGUAGAUCUCGAAGUUACCAUUAUCAUCAGGAAGUACUAACACCGGUGCAUGAGUAAGGCAAUGUUUCAAUUGCUGGAAACUUUGCUCACAACUAUCAUCCCAUUCAAACUUAACAUCCUUCCUGGUUAACUUCGUUAAUGGCAAGGCAAUCAUAGAAAAGUCUUGAACAAACCGUCUAUAAUAACCUGCCAAGCCAAGAAAACUCCGCACCUCAGUGACCGUUCGAGGUUGUUCCCAACUUUCCACUGCUGCUAUCUUUUGAGGAUCCACUUGAAUUCCCUGAGCUGAUACCACAUGUCCCAGAAAUGCCACUUGAUUUAGCCAAAACUGACAUUUACUAAACUUGGCAUAUAAUCGGUGUUCCCUCAAUUUCCUUAACACCAAGUUAAGAUGUCGAAUAUGGUCUGAUUUGGACUUAGAAUAUACCAGGAUAUCAUCAAUAAAAACAAUAACAAACCUGUCAAGAUAUUCCUGGAAUACUUCAUUCAUCAAUCUCAUGAAAGCUGCAGGAGCAUUAGUCAAUCCAAAUGGCAUCACCAAAAACUCAUAAUGCCCAUAACGAAUCCUGAAAGCCGUUUUAUGAACAUCCUCCUCUUUAAUCUUUAAUUGAUAAUACCCAGAUCUCAAAUCGAUCUUAGAAAACACACAGGCACCUUUGAGCUGAUCAAACAAAUCAUCUAUACGAGGCAAGGGAUAACGGUUUUUAAUCGUUACCCGAUUCAAUUGCCUGUAAUCAAUACACAAUCUCAAAGUUCCAUCCUUCUUUCUCACAAACAACACCGGAGCUCCCCAAGGUGAAGAACUAGGCUGAAUGAAACCUUUAUCAAUUAAUUCUUGCAAUUGAAAUUUCAACUCUCUUAAUUCCGCUGGUGCCAUUCUAUAAGGAGUCAAUGAUAUAGGGUUUGUACCUGGAAGCAAUUCAAUUGAAAACUCCACAUCUCUAUCUGGGGGCAAUCCAGGCAAAUCAUCUGGAAAUACAUCAGGAUAGUGUCUGACUACUCCGACUUCCUCCACACUACUGGAAGCAACAUCAUUCAAAACCACAUGUGCCAAGUAUCCCUGACAACCCUUGGAUAACAAUUUCUUCGCCCUUAUGGCAGAAAUAACACCAUUCAUCACCCCACUUCUUUCACCCACAAAUGUAACCUCGGGUAGUCCAGGACGAAGAAAAGUAACUGAUUUCCCGUAACAAUCUAUAUGGGCGGGAUUAUAAUGCAACCAAUCCGCCCCUAAAAUCACAUCAAAAUCCACGAUGUCUAACGGGAUAAGAUUAGCAGGCAUAAUGACAUUAUCUACCAUCACUGGACAUCCAGAGUAAAAACUAUCAACAUAACACUUAUCCCCUCUAGGCAUAGCAAACUCUAAAUCAAACCCUAGAGGUGAAGGAUGAGGUUGUGUCAUUUGAGCAAAUGUAUGAGAAAUCACAGAGUGUGUAGCACCACAAUCAAUCAAAACUCUAGCAAAAUGACCAAGAACAUUCAACGUACCCAUAAUCAAGUCUGGAUGGUUCUGAGCAUCUUGCAGCGAUAUGUGGUUAACACGUCCCUGAGCUGGCUGUCGUCCUCCACGACCUCUGCCACUCUGAUUACCUCGUCCCUGAUGAAUACGUCCUUGACCUGUCUGGGCAGGCGGCCUAGACGGCCCUACACUACUAGCAGCAACUCCGCUCUGUUGGGGCUGACCCCCCUGAUACCACUGAGAUCCGCUAGCUGGCAUAGACGGAUAUGAAGUAUAACCUCCCUGAUCCUGAGAAUAGUGAUACGGUCCCGGAGCAUAAGGAGCAGCAUCACCCUGAUAGUGAUAAGCACCACCACGACCCACCUGGCCAUAACUGCCUGAAUUAAAGUUCUGUUGAGUCGGUGCUGGUGUUGGCAUAACAGGCUGCUGGGGCCUCUGCUGAUUCUGGGGACAAUACAUAGCUCUAUGUCCUGUCUGACCACAUGUAAAGCAUGCACCACUGAGUCUCCUACAUUCCCCAUGAUGUCGGAAAUUACAACGACGACAUAACGGAGGACCCGAACUACCAGUACCACCAAAGCCUCUCUGACCAGAAAAUCUAGGUCCAUUACCAAACCUACCACCUCCUCUCCUCGGACCUGUGGCACUAAAUCCACCACUGGAAGAACUCGAACUCAUUCCACUUUUCUUGAAAUUCUGCGUCUGACGAGGUCCUGGAAUGGAAAUACCCUUACCUUUAUCAUUUUUCUUCUGACCAUCACCCUUAUCCUCGUCAUCCUCACUGUCCGGAAGAUUAUCAGAGUCUUCCAUCCGGACCAGAAUCUCAAAAUACUCAUGAUAAUCGGCACAGGGAAGUGCAUUGGCAAACGUUCUGUACUUCUUCUUAGAUCCUAACUUGAAACGACGAAGCAUUUCUGCUUGAUUACCCGCUAAAUCAGAAUCAUAACGGGAUAAAUCAGUAAACUUCCUGUAGUACUCAUGUGCAGACAUAUUUCUCUGCUUCAGCCUGGUGAAUUCCUGUUUCUUGCGAUCUAUAUAUUCCGGAGGAACAAAUCUCUUCAUAAAAUUUUCCUUAAAUACCUCCCAUUCGGCUGCCCUUUCAGGUGCCAUGUGCCUCGACUGAUUUAUCCACCACGCCGCUGGCUCACGGCCCAAAAACCAGGUGGUGGUCUCCACCCAUCUAUUAGCUGGCAGGUUUCCCCUGACUUUGCAUCACUUGAAAGGUCUGCUCAAUCCGAUCCAACCACUUUUCUGCCCCCUCAUAACCUUCAUUUCCCUCAAAGGUUUCCAAUUUCAGAUUAUACAUCGUUUAUACAGGUGUUCUCUGAGGAGGACGGAUACUAGCCUGAAAAGCCUGAGCCAGUGCUUCCCCUAACUGGGCUAUAUCGGGGAAAUUAGGCUCAGCAGCCUGGCGAGGAUCUCUACGAGGCGGCAUAAUUCUGACAGAAAACAUCAAAAAAAUCAAUAGAAGAACUCAUUAGUUAUACAGGACUGCAACCUAUGCUCUGAUACCAAACUGACACACCCUAACCCGAAGACUAGGACGUGCUGGCCGUCACGUGAGCGUGACGUAACCAUAAACGCAAGCGGAAACGAUUAAAUAAUAUACGAGUCAACGAAAACCACUAAAUGCAGUUAUUUACAACCUAGCAUUCUAUGUGCAUAAGAGUGUACUAAACACACAUAAACAGAGCAUAAGCGUCUAGGUGCAGUCAAGUAGAACCGUAACUAAUUUACAACACCCUCGGGUGAAAUCCUACAUUUAUUUAGUCUGUCAGAAUGCCGAAGUAGUCCUCGUAGGCCACCAACGCCUCAACUAUCAACUAGAACCUGGAGGGGCGAAAAACAGAAAACGUGAGUGGGCGAAAAUAAAGCUUUUCCAAAUCAUUUCAUAAAUCCACAAUUAUAACCCCUUUUUGGAAAACCUGUAUACUUUCCCAGAAAAAUAGUAUAUAGCAUAUAUAUAUCUCAACCAAUCUCGAUCAUCAAUCUUAUAACAGAUUCAAUAAAGAAUGUACCAUGCCAAAUUCAACAGUUUAGUAUGAAUGCAUUGACAUAAUAUAAAUCAGGUAAAAGAUAGUAAUCAAUCGGAGGCCCUCUAAUGGCCCUGAACGAUUGAACCUAGAGCUCAAAAUCUAUCACUCUCACUCUGCCGGAGUCACCUCUGUGACCUGUCCGGCCUUCUGCACAUAAGUCGGAACCACCUAAUGUAGUCUGUACGACUUAAUGGUUAAUAUUACGCUCUAGUGCUUUUCUCAUCAAUCAUCUGUAUACAUAAUCUAAGGUCACCCACCAGUCGAAAUCUCACUAACACUCUACGACUGGCCCGUCGCACCCACUCCGCGUGGACUGUGCGACCAGCAUCUACUUGGAUCCAAGGCGAGCGUGCGAUGUGGUGAAUACUAUAAGCACUAAACCAUGGUGCAGGAUAUGAGCUCAAUAUAUAUCAUCAUCAUGACAGUAAUUAAAUACUCACCUGAUACUCACCUGUGCGUCCACAGCACCAUUUUACAUAUAUGCAUCAUACGACAGUUCAUAAUAUUCAUAACAUUCUAUGCAUGGCAAUCAAAUCAUAUUUCAUUUCAUUUCAAUAUACUUUUCAUUUAAUUUUGAUUUCUGGGGAAAUCGAGUAUAUAGGUAUAUAUAUAAAAACAAAUGCCCACUCACUGGUAUGUCGCCGGGUCGUAACCCCCUUGACGCCCCUGGAUGUGCUCUUCCUCGUUAUAAGUCCC
rnacentral:lncRNA from 1 species